CAGCCGCCGCGGGAAUACGUAGGGUGCAAGCGUUAAUCGGAAUUACUGGGCGUAAAGCGUGCGCAGGCGGUUAUAUAAGACAGAUGUGAAAUCCCCGGGCUCAACCUGGGAACUGCAUUUGUGACUGUAUAGCUAGAGUACGGCAGAGGGGGAUGGAAUUCCGCGUGUAGCAGUGAAAUGCGUAGAUAUGCGGAGGAACACCGAUGGCGAAGGCAAUCCCCUGGGCCUGUACUGACGCUCAUGCACGAAAGCGUGGGGAGCAAACAGGAUUAGAUACCCCUGUAGUCACUGUCUCUUAUAA
rnacentral:rRNA from 1 species